rnacentral:lncRNA from 11 species
GGAUAAUGGGAGUUGUAGUACAACUAUUUUGGGUUUGGAGUAAGCGACACUCAUAGAGAGACACAAUCUGGCCUUACCUUUGUGCCAAAGGAAACAAGCUUCCCAUGCAGGUGAAAUGAAGACGAACAGGACAGGUGAGAGUCAGAACUCACCUGAGGCAGGAGAAGAGGCUUCCAGGUGUUGGCCUUCCUUGGGGAGGGAAGGCUCUUUUCCUCUGUCCGUCAAGGAGGCCUCGGCUUAAACAGAGCAAUGCUCCCCGGAGUAAAUUGCGAGUACAAAUGUGGGCGGCAAGUCACUUCCUGGUUGCAUCUCUCUUUGAGCCGUUCCUGCCAAGACACCUCCCCUGUGUCUCCUCAGUUUCCAGGAGAGAACAAAGAGUUUUGGGAAUUGCCGGAGAAGCACACAGAGGAUGUAACUGUGCCAAGGAGAUGUUCCGGCAUAACUGGGCUCAGCAUGGAAAAAGGAAAACACUUCCACUUAAUGCCUUCAUCCCAAGGAACAAUGCAGGCCCCUGCUGCGAUGCCAUGAAGCCGUUUGCAUUUCAAUGAACCCCAGACAUCGGCAUGCAAUUAAAUCCAAGCGUUCGGAUUGGUCCAUAGGCUGGAAACAACCCAUAGCGGCU